rnacentral:lncRNA from 1 species
UAAAUACUAAAAACAUAUACUACAAGGGUUGCAACAGGUUAUUCUACAACAGCAACACGGUCGUACCUUCGGACAUUUAGGGCAAGAGCAUUUCCAUUUGCAACAAUUUGCGCAGGAGCAAUCGGGACAUGAACAGGACGGGAAAAUGCAACAGUUUGCGCAAGAGCAAUCGGGACAUGAACAGGAUGGAAAAAUGCAACAAUUUCUGCUGCAUGAAAUAUUUUUGCAGCACUUGGAGCGGGGACAUGAGCAGCAACAUCGCCACUUUGGUAGCGGACAGCAGGCACAUGGAUUACAGUUACACAGACCGCAGUCACAGC